AAUAUUACCGAUUAUGUGGUUAUUGAUACAUAGAUCAAUAUAUCAAUAAAAUUCUCUGUAAUUCAAUACACAUAUGUAUAUUGGCAAAAGUCUUAGGGUACCAAUAAUGUGAAUUAUAAAAUUAUCACAGAGAAAAGUCCUGAAAGUAUAAUGUGUACCUACUACCGCGUCGCCAGGAAACGAAAACUUCCUAUCAAAGGGUAAACGCCGUACCCUAUUAGACCGGUAUUUUUGCAACGAUACAGCAGAUCCAGGUUCUCGAGAGGAACGAUAACGGUAAUCGUAGCGUUGGUUGGCGGCCUCGCAGAGGAAGGCAGCCACGGUGUUCAUGAUCAGAAGAGCGGCAGUAUCCUGGUCCUCCCUUUAGUAGUCUCAUACCACUAGCGUAUACCCUUACUAUGGUACCCCUGGCGGCGCGGUGCUAGCCAUGACACGAGAAUGUGAUUAAUGAUCGCAACAGAGAGCCAUGCACCGUACACCGCUCUCCUCUCUUUUCCCUCUUCUCCCCCGCCGUAAACUCGCCGGGUUCUCCUUCUCUGUCGUCCGUUCCUCUCUUCCCUGGACGGCCACCGCGUUUUCUCUUCCCUCUGGUAUCGUUCUCUCUUUCAGCAACCCCUGCUGUUGCCGCUGACGUUGCUGCCGCGGUUGCUGCUGCCGCAACUGCCCUCUCUCUUUCUUUCUCUCUUAUUCUCUACUUGCAAUCUGACUGCCUGCCAACUUUCUUCCAUAGUUCUUCAUCCUCGUUCUCCCUCCUCGUGGCCACCGCUGAUUAUCCAUCGACUAUUUCCAACGCUGCCUCCAGCUGGUUUUCGCCGUUUUUCCUCGAGAUUCUCUUGUUCGACGCACCAACGUUGGCCUCGCUUCGACAGAAGAUGAGCAGUCUCGAGGGAAGAGUAAAGAAAAGACAGAAAUCUCGGAGCAGUAUGUUUGUUUCAAUACAGAGAAACGUUAAGUAAUUGUAUGUACAUGGUAAGGUGCUUGGACGGAUUUUCCUAAGGGCUGAAUUAUAUUAUAAAGAGUGGAGAGUUUCGUGUCCUCCGCGUUAAAUGAACCUGUCCAAGGCAGGAGUCGUAAGAAAUGAAGAAGUCACGGGAACAGAGGAAGAAAUCAGUCAGUGCCUGCUCCAAGCACGAUGACUUUGACUCUAUCGACUCGUCUUCCGCUUAUCUAAAUCACUUAUCGAUAUCUUGCCCUGAUCCUGCUUUUCUUCAAUAUCCGAUCGCCGUCGAUCUUAAUAAUUGCACUUCUUCUUCUUUUCGAUUUCAGCGAUCCCUUAUAUAUCAAAAGGCAUACACGAAGAACCUGCAUUCCAACUUCUACCAAAGUAACUAGACAAAAUAAACCAUCUACUGGUUCCACUCACCAAAUUCUCCUCUUCGUCACGUGGAACAAUCGUUUGAAAACUGCAGAAUAGUAAACCACCCCUUUGAUAUUCCUGCUGUUAUCAUUUUCGCCAGACAAUAUUGUGUCCAAAAUAAUCCUCUAGUAGGAUUGAACAAUGAUUCGACAGUGCGGCCAUCGUUCGACGACGGUGACGAAGUCAGCAAGAGUGGAAAAGACUGGCAGGCGGAACGAAGACAGAGGCAGCGGGUACUCCCCGCGGAAAUCAACGGGGCUGCGAGCGUUUCGUUGAAAUUUCCGGCGUAUUGUCGGCGUUCGGCGGCCGUGAAUGAUCCGGAGCCACCAUCAACCCCUUUGUGAAGGAAGGGAGACGGCGAGGCGGGAACGAGGGCGAACCUGAUGGGAUAUGGGGAUGGCGACGCGUCCCUGGCGACGCCGCGACGCUGACAGCGUUCGGUCCCGGCGCCCUCUUCUCCCCGACUCUAUUUCCGCGUUUUCUUUGACACACCCCGCAUUAAAUGCUUCAGCUGUUUCUACAAACUUGCGAUCCGCACUAUUCGCGUGAUCGAAUGGCGUUGGUCGAAUGCGAUGUUUGUUACCGAGGGACAAAAUGGUUGAUGGAACGAACGAAAUUGAGGCUGUUUGAGAGAAUCAGAUUGUAAAUGGUUGAAUAUUAAUACAUUGCACGUUUUCACAUUCAUGGGGAUUCACGGAUGCAAGAAUAUAUAGAACGUGGAUAGUAUUUAAUGUAUGAAAGGAAUUUACAAUAUAAAAUAUUCGCAGUGUUCAUUGUAAAAUUGAAUGAAUGAAGCAAAUCUCGACUUUGAAUCUAUUUUACAAUAACAUGAAUCUGUAUAAACAUCCGCUAUGUAAAAGUAACAAGUUUGGAGCAUGAGGAGGAAUUGUAUUGUUUAAAAUUGUAAUUAUUAGAAAAUGUGUUCUACGUUCUGGAUAGAUUUGGACGUUUUGUGAAAGUAAUUACCAUAGCUUUUAUCAAUGAAUGAAACAAUUCUUCUUUCACAACUGAUAAAUAUUAAUGUCUGAAGUAACAAUUAUUUUUCUUAAUCAAAAACAAUUAUUUUCUUAAUCACAAUUAUAGAAGUGAGAUAACACGUUCCUGGUUUCAAAUUGAUAGAUUAUCAUGAAAUAAUCUUACAAUAUGAAACGAACUUGCAGCUGUAAUUACUUUCCUUAAUCGGUUCAUAUUGUAUAAUAGAAUUACAGUUACAUACUUAAUACAUCUUAUGUCAUAAGAUUGCAUUAUGAAAUGUGUGUAGUCAGGAAUCGCUGUCUAUAACAUGGCUGUCUUAUUAGCAACAUUACGUUAAAAGUAAUGCACGUAGCAGCGGUUAGAAGAUGAUAAUUAGCUGAUGGUACAGAUUAUCACAAUCCUGUUACGAUUGAUGGAGUAGAAGGUGCUAAUGAUUAUUUAAAGAUGAUGGUAAUUAGGUAAAUUAAAGCGCUACCCAGAGUUCUGAAUAACAGUAUGUUACGCAAAUAUAACGUGCAGCAUGCGCCUGUACGUGAUACUGUAAUUUAAGUAGUAUCUAACUUAAUCGUUGCUACAUAAUUUGUUUCAUAUUUGUCUUCUUAACAUGCCUGCUGAUUUCUGAGUAGAUUGCCGUUCUGUGGAUAGUCAUUUCCUGCAAACUUCGUAUAAAUAGAAAGCUCGAGGUUGCACGAUCAUGGUAAGACCACGAAUUCUGCUAAUCAUCGCGCGAGGAAAAGUCCAAACAACCUUUUUCCAAAAGCAACUUCAUGCUUUUCCAAAUAUUAUUCGAAUAUAUUAUUCUAGAUCAGUUUCUUUAUUAACGAAGCUAUUUUUUCAAUUCUUUGCGUCGCUUUUAUAGCAAUGAACACGGCUGAGUUUACCACAUCGAACAAGAAAGGAUUAAAGCAAUUUCUUCUGGAGACAACUUCAUGGUCUUCGAAAUAUUAUUGUUCAAAAGACAUAACCUAGAAAUAACUGCUUUUUUAACCAAGAUAAUCGAGGAAGAAGAAAAGCGAAGAAUAUUCUUUUACCAUCGAUUCCUUGAUUUUUCAAGCAUUAUUCCAACGAUAUAUUUCAAAAGCAAUUUCUUUAAUAUGAUAGCUGGUUCUUCGAUUGUUCACGAUACUGUUAUGGCAAUAGACGCGUCCAUGUUGGCGAUAUUAACAUCGCCGACAGCGAUGGCUGGCUGCCUUUUGUCCAGAGGGAUGAAAUACUUGAUGAUAUUAAACAUGAAUAAUGUAACGGUUUGGGGGCGAGCAAUAGCGGCUGCGAUAAGGCCUUCUGGAAUACAACAUACGCAAAAUUACAAUGUAACAGCUGUCAGGCUUGUACCAGAAUGAAGAAAUAAUAGUGACUGACUGAAUUGGAGAGCCAAUGGAAUCAAUGAAUUAAGAUAUCAACCACUUGGAAGGAAAAUUGUAAAAGAAUUUGCUCGUUUGGCAGUGGAAACUAGUUUUAUUGACAGAAAUCGCGCUGCGGGGUAAAUUGGUGGAAACAAGAGGGCAAAGGGAGGAGGGAAAAAAUCAGUGCCGGAUGACUCGUCGGUUUUCGAGCGAACCGGAAUGACUAAGUGUGAAUUCAAUUAAGGGUUUGUUUUAAGCAUCUAUCAGAGCUUGUUUACGGGCCAGCUCAUUAUUUACGUAACACGAUGAAAUUGACAAUUUCAACUUGGCUAAUUAACGCUGCCGAUCGAAGAAAUUUGUCCGGUUUCAAGUUCCUUCCCCUUUCGUCAAACUAUCUACACACCUGAAGAAUCAAGGAAGAAGAAAAGAGGAAAUUGAGGAGCCAAAGGAACCAAGGAAGAUAAAUUAUGAAUUUCUUUUUUUGUUACUGCAUAUCCUUCAGAAAUUUGUUUCAAGUUUGUUACCCUUUUGUCAAACUAUCUACAUACAUAGUACAAGAUUUUUUCAAAACAAAUUCAUCUUAUAUUAUUUUAAUAUUUAC
rnacentral:lncRNA from 1 species